UCAUUUCAGACUUCUGGUAGGCGACUUUUGGCUUCAAAACCCUGAAAACUGUGUCCUAGACCACCCCGACACUACCAUUUUCUGAACAUCUUCCCAUAAAGAAUAAUGAAUAUUGAACACCAGGAUACCAAAAAAGCUCAUCUAAUCUACUCAAGUAUCACUGUGUACUCUGUUUCAAGAUGCAAAUGAAGUGGGGAUUUUCCUAUGCUGGACAGAGUGUACAGUUACCUGGCCAUGAGGUCUUGGGUCAUUGCUGAAGGGAGAUUCAUGAGGAUGCCAGAAUUAUCCUACUGAAUAGACCAUGAGCUACUUGGAGACAGAAUUGGAGAAGAUACAGUCUCUGGUCUCAGUAUGGAUGUGUAAGCAGGUGAAAUACGUUAUGACAUUUCCCUGUCUAAUUCUUCGCUGGAGUACACAAGAAUCUGCAUACUUUGGCCUGUGGCUUGGGACUUCAGAUCCACGUCUUUAAGACCUGGUGAGCCAGCCAGAAGAAAGAGCUGAAGGUGCCCCAUGGCCAGAUCCAAGUGUAUGCCUGGACUCUCUUCUGCUUCUCCAUAUUGGGAUAUAAGUCCAGCAAAAGAAGUAACCAUUGGCCAAGGACAGAUGCCGAGACCAUCAUUAAAAUUGAGAAGCAGCGCUGGAGAGAUGAUUCAGCAGUUAAGAGCACUUGCUGUUCUUACAAAGGGCCUGUCUGGAUUUCAUUCCCGGUGCCCACAUGGAAGCUCACAGUUGUCUGUAAUUCCAGUUCCAAGGAAUCUGUCACACUCUUCUGACUUCCUUGGGCACAAGCAUACACGAGAUGUAUACUCAUAUGUAGGCAAAAUAUUCAUACACAUAUGACAAAAUAAAUCUAAAAUAUUGACAU
rnacentral:lncRNA from 1 species